GGCGGCGGUGGUGGCGGUGGUGGAUAUGGGUAAGUUUUUUUUACGCCAGCGCCAUGAAGUAUUGGGUGAAAGUUAAUUCCCACGUCGGGUGUAAGCAAAUUGCCACUUAUAAUCGCAAUGAAGUGGUUUUUUGCAGCUAUUUUGACCUGCAAGAAAUGCAAGAGGCAAGAAACUCCUUCUCAAUGCUAUAUUCGUAGGGCCCGUCGCUAGACGGCUCAAAUUUCUUUCACUUUCUUGCAGUUUUUUGCCCCUCACAUUUUUUAAGUUUCUGGCUUUGCAACGCAAGAAAGGAACAUUGAAAGUGUAUUUAUAUUUCAUUUGUAGAGGCCAUAAGAAGGGGUACGGAGGGGGCGGUGGGGGUGGCUACGGGUAAGAAUUUUUGACCCCAACGCUGUGAGGUUUCCGGUGAAAGUUUAUUCCAAUGUAUGUUGAAUUGCAGAGGGCAUAAGAAGGGGUACGGAGGGGGCGGUGGGGGUGGCUACGGGUAAGAAUUUUUGACGCCAGCGCGAUGAAGUAUCGGGUGAAAGUUUAUUUCAAUGUAUAUUUAUAUUUGAUUUGCAGCGGUGGGCAUAAGAAGGGAUAGUAAGUUUUCAUGAAUCCCAGUUGCUUAGGGUGAAAGUUGUUCCAAAACUUAACAAGUUUUUAAUUUGCAGUGGUGGGGGUGGUGGCGGAUAUGGUGGUGGCGGUGGCGGACAUAAAGGAUACGGCGGUGGUGGUGGAGGGUACGGAGGCGGUGGGGGUGGCGGAUACCAUUAAAGAAGCCAGACUGUGAUCAUAAACAGUAUUUGUACAGUCAUCCGAGUAUCUCCCCAUAGAAGACCUUACUAUAAUUACUACAAGCGACCAAAUUUGUUCACAAAUUAGCAAGUAUAAAAUACAUAGUCCCAUAUAUACUUUCCUUUAUUAGUCUCUAUAGCCAUUUCAACAAGGUAAAUUUUCUGGUUUACUAUUUGAACAUGUAAUAACUGUACAUAAAUGCUCAGAAAAAGUGAGCAUAGUAAAGCGUUAUAAAACCAAUAAAUAAAAGAUACAUUUUCUAAAUAAAUUA